CAGGCGGUUUGUUAAGUCAGAUGUGAAAUCCCCGGGCUCAACCUGCGGAACUGCAUUUGAAACUGGCAAGCUAGAGUCUCGUAGAGGGGGGUAGAAUUCCAGGUGUAGCGGUGAAAUGCGUAGAGAUCUGGAGGAAUACCGGUGGCGAAGGCGGCCCCCUGGACGAAGACUGACGCUCAGGUGCGAAAGCGUGGGGAGCAAACAGGAUUAGAUACCCUGGUAGUCCACGCUGUAAACGAUGUCGAUUUGGAGGUUGUGCCCUUGAGGCGUGGCUUCCGGAGCUAACGCGUUAAAUCGACCGCCUGGGGAGUACGGCCGCAAGGUUAAAACUCA
rnacentral:rRNA from 1 species